GAUGAACGCUGGCGGCGUGCCUAAUACAUGCAAGUCGAGCGAACGGACGAGACUCUUGCUUCUCUGAUGUUAGCGGCGGACGGGUGAUUAACACGUGGCUAACCUACCUAUAAGACUGGGAUAACUUCGGGAAACCGGAUCUAAUACCGGAUGAUAUUUUGAACCUCAUGGUUCAAAAGUGAAAGACGGUCUUGCUGUCACUUAUAGAUGUAUCCGCGCUGCAUUAGCUAGUUGGUAAGGUAACGGCUUACCAAGGCAACGAUGCAUAGCCGACCUGAGAGGGUGAUCAGCCACACUGGAACUGAGACACGGUCCAGACUCCUACGGGAGGCAGCAGUAGGGAAUAUUCCGCAAUGGGCGAAAGCCUGACGGAGCAACGCCGCGUGAGUGAUGAAGGUCUUCGGAUCGUAAAACUCUGUUAGUAGGGAAGAACAUAUGUGUAAGUAACUGUGCACAUCUUGACGGUACCUAAUCAGAAAGCCACGGCUAACUACGUG
rnacentral:rRNA from 1 species